rnacentral:misc_RNA from 1 species
GAUGAAGAACGUAGCGAAAUGCGAUAAGUAAUGUGAAUUGCAGAAUUCAGUGAAUCAUCGAAUCUUUGAACGCACAUUGCGCCCGCCAGUAUUCUGGCGGGCAUGCAUGUUCGAGCGUCAUUUCAACCCUCAAGACCCCUUCGGGGGACUUGGUGUUGGGGACCGGCACAGGGGCCUGCCUGCUUGUCUUGCAGCGCCCUCGCCGCCCCCGAAAUGAAUUGGCGGCCUCGUCGCGGCCUCCCCUGCGUAGUAGCACAACCUCGCAACGGGAACGUGACGGCGGCCACUGCCGUAAAACAACCCCAAUUUUAUUAGAGUUGACCUCGAAUCAGGUAGGAAUACCCGCUGAACUUAAGCAUAUCAAUAAGCGGAGGA